rnacentral:misc_RNA from 1 species
GGGUCCCGUGGGCCAAGACGGGUCGCUGAUGACCAUUACGCCAGCAUCCUUGCAGAUGCGCGAACCUCGGUCCCCGCGAGGGCAUUACGCCCCGGGCUAUAACACUCCCGGAGGAGCUACGUUCCCAGGACCUUUAUCCCCCCGCGAGAACCGAUGCUGGCCUGAGCCGGGCGGAGUGCACCGGUGAGAACACCGGAUGAUCCGCCCGGCGCAAGUCUGGUCACAAGCGCUUCCCUUUCAACAAUUUCACGUGCUAUUUAACCCUCUUUUCAAAGUGCUUUUCAUCUUUCGAUCACUCUACUUGUGCGCUAUCGGUCUCUGGCCGGUAUUUAGCUUUAGAAGAAAUUUACCUCCCAUUUUGAGCAGCAUUCCCAAACUACUCGACUCGUCGAAGGAGCUUUACACAGGCUAGGCAUCCAACUAUACGGGGCUCUCACCCUCUAUGGCGCCCCGUUCCAGGGGACUCAGAAGGUGCCGCGCCUAAAGCUUCCUCUGCAAAUUACAACUCGGGCCGAAGCCAGAUUUCAAAUUUGAGCUGUUGCCGCUCACUCGCCGUACUAGGGCAAUACCUCUGCAUCCUUGCAGAUGCGCGAACCUCGGUCCCCGCGAGGGCAUUACGCCCCGGGCUAUAACACUCCCGGAGGAGCUACGUUCCCAGGACCUUUAUCCCCCCGCGAGAACCGAUGCUGGCCUGAGCCGGGCGGAGUGCACCGGUGAGAACACCGGAUGAUCCGCCCGGCGCAAGUCUGGUCACAAGCGCUUCCCUUUCAACAAUUUCACGUGCUAUUUAACCCUCUUUUCAAAGUGCUUUUCAUCUUUCGAUCACUCUACUUGUGCGCUAUCGGUCUCUGGCCGGUAUUUAGCUUUAGAAGAAAUUUACCUCCCAUUUUGAGCAGCAUUCCCAAACUACUCGACUCGUCGAAGGAGCUUUACACAGGCUAGGCAUCCAACUAUACGGGGCUCUCACCCUCUAUGGCGCCCCGUUCCAGGGGACUCAGAAGGUGCCGCGCCUAAAGCUUCCUCUGCAAAUUACAACUCGGGCCGAAGCCAGAUUUCAAAUUUGAGCUGUUGCCGCUUCACUCGCCGUUACUAGGGCAAUCCCUGUUGGUUUCUUUUCCUCCGCUUUUUGGAUAU